rnacentral:rRNA from 1 species
CCUACGGGAGGCAGCAGUGGGGAAUAUUGGACAAUGGGCGAAAGCCUGAUCCAGCCAUGCCGCGUGUGUGAAGAAGGCCUUCGGGUUGUAAAGCACUUUCAGUGGGGAAGAAAGCCUUGGGGCUAAUACCCUCGAGGAAGGACAUCACCCACAGAAGAAGCACCGGCUAACUCCGUGCCAGCAGCCGCGGUAAUACGGAGGGUGCGAGCGUUAAUCGGAAUUACUGGGCGUAAAGCGCGCGUAGGCGGUCUGAUAAGCCGGUUGUGAAAGCCCCGGGCUCAACCUGGGAACGGCAUCCGGAACUGUCAGGCUAGAGUGCAGGAGAGGAAGAUAGAAUUCCCGGUGUAGCGGUGAAAUGCGUAGAGAUCGGGAGGAAUACCAGUGGCGAAGGCGGCCUUCUGGACUGACACUGACGCUGAGGUGCGAAAGCGUGGGUAGCAAACAGGAUUAGAUACCCCAGUAGUC